GACGAACGCUGGCGGCGUGCCUAAUACAUGCAAGUCGAACGGUCUUUUCUACGGAAGCUUGCUUCCACUGAGAAGAUAGUGGCGAACGGGUGAGUAACACGUGGGUAACCUGCCCAUAAGAGGGGGAUAACAUCCGGAAACGGGUGCUAAUACCGCAUAGUUUUCUUGAUCGCAUGAUCGGGAAAGGAAAGGCGGCCUUCGUGCUGUCGCUUAUGGAUGGACCCGCGGCGUAUUAGUUAGUUGGUGAGGUAAUGGCUCACCAAGACGAUGAUACGUAGCCGACCUGAGAGGGUGAUCGGCCACAUUGGGACUGAGACACGGCCCAAACUCCUACGGGAGGCAGCAGUAGGGAAUCUUCCGCAAUGGACGAAAGUCUGACGGAGCAACGCCGCGUGAGUGAAGAAGGUUUUCGGAUCGUAAAACUCUGUUGUCAGAGAAGAACAAGUUGGAGAGUAACUGCUCCAGCCUUGACGGUAUCUGACCAGAAAGCCACGGCUAACUACGUGCCAGCAGCCGCAGUAACAC
rnacentral:rRNA from 1 species